rnacentral:rRNA from 1 species
GACGAACGCUGGCGGCGCGCCUAACACAUGCAAGUCGAACGAGCGAGAGGGAGCUUGCUUUCUCGAGCGAGUGGCGAACGGGUGAGUAACGCGUGAGGAACCUGCCUCAAAGAGGGGGACAACAGUUGGAAACGACUGCUAAUACCGCAUAAGCCCACGGUGCCGCAUGGCACAGAGGGAAAAGGAGCAAUCCGCUUUGAGAUGGCCUCGCGUCCGAUUAGCUAGUUGGUGAGGUAAUGGCCCACCAAGGCGACGAUCGGUAGCCGGACUGAGAGGUUGAACGGCAACAUUGGGACUGAGACACGGCCCAGACUCCUACGGGAGGCAGCAGUGGGGAAUAUUGCACAAUGGGGGAAACCCUGAUGCAGCGACGCCGCGUGGAGGAAGAAGGUCUUCGGAUUGUAAACUCCUGUUGUUGGGGAAGAUAAUGACGGUACCAAACAAGGAAGUGACGGCUAACUACGUG